CCAUAGAUGUUCUGGGCCGCACGCGCGUUACACUGACGGGGCCAGCGAGUACUGCCUUGGCCGAAAGGUCCGGGUAAUCUUGUGAAACCCCGUCGUGCUGGGGAUAGAGCAUUGCAAUUAUUGCUCUUCAACGAGGAAUCCCUAGUAAGCGCAAGUCAUCAGCUUGCGUUGAUUACGUCCCUGCCCUUUGUACACACCGCCCGUCGCUACUACCGAUUGAAUGGCUCAGUGAGGCUUUCGGACUGGUCCGGAGUGGGGGGCGACCCCCGUUCUGGACCGGAAAGUUAUCCGAACUCGGUCAUUUAGAGGAAGUAAAAGUCGUAACAAGGUCUCCGUAGGUGAACCUGCGGAAGA
rnacentral:rRNA from 1 species